CACUCUGUCGCCCAGGGCUUGAGUGCAGUGGCAUGAUCUCAGCUCACUGCAAUCUCCACCUUCUGGGUUCAAGCAAUUCUCCUGCUCAGCCUUCUGAGUAUCUGGGAUCGCAGUUGUGCACCACCACGCCCAGAAAAAUUGAGUGGUAACUGAAGAUGGCAAAACACCGCAUCAGAACGACUCAGUCACAGUGGCAAUUGUUUUGAAAGAUGAUGAAAGAAGGGCUAGCCUGAAAGAAACUUCUGCCUUCUUUGGAAAUGAGAUGCAAAAAGUAUGGCUCCCUGCUACAACAAAAAUGGAUCCCCCAAGGAGGACAUAACUGGAAUUGCUGUCAUUGUUACCCCUUUGAAAAUCUCAGCCAGCUAGAGGACCAGAGACAUUCUCAUCAAGAUUAAAGCCAGAGCAACCACCACCAACAAAUGAUGACAAAUCCCUGCCAGGAUUGGAGUGGGUUUGAAUGGCAUAGCUGGCCCCUGGUACUCCUGAGUGGUUAGAUCGUCAGUCUUACCUGUUCAUUUUGUUAACCUCAUAGUAGUACAGCAACAUAUUUUACUUGUUUGAAUUGUUUGUGUUAGAAUCAGGUAUUAACCUUGUAGGCAACAUGGAUAAUAUAUUUCUGUAGUUCAACAUAAUUUCCAUUUUAAAUUCACAAUUUAUUAGAGCAGCAGAAAAUAAUGUCAAUAAAAUUGAAGCCUCUUUUUCUUAAGGGAUUGUGCCUAAGGAGCUUACUUAAUUCCAAGACUGGGUGUGUGGUGAGGAGGGGAGAAAAUGGAGAGGACGCUAUGCCUCAUUAUUUCCUAAGAUGCUCAUCAUUCCAAAUGAUCAUCCAUCACUGGUCUUAAGGUCACUUUUGUCUUCUGGUCUCUUUGGGUCUGAAAGAUCUCUGCUAUGUCCAUUAUUCAGGUGGGGGUUUGGAAAUAACUGCAACCUAUCUAGAAACUCAUCUGCCAAAUGAACUUCGCAACAAUUUCCUAUGUGGGGGCAUAUCACCUUCCUGAGACUCUGCCUGAGGUAAAGGCACAGAGCCUCACUCCCUUGAUCAAGCUUCCUUCCAUCCUUCUUACUCCAACCUGUUUUCUGUUUGCCACAGAAAUCUCACCUUCUUUCAGAGACACAAAGGGAACUCUACCCCAAGAUCAAUUUUAUAAAGGCUCAUAAUUCCAGUUCUCUCUUGAUAAUAGAGCAGUCUCGAAAUCAGUUACUAAAUGUAGGGUGGAUUAAUUUUAGAUCUUGUGUAUAGGACUUGGUCUGAAUCCUUUAAAAUCGUAGGUAUAUACUUUACAUAAGCCUUACCCCAAGGGCAGCCAUAAUUUUCUUUCAACCAUAUUUUGUAGGCUGGUGAGUCCUGCACCUGCCCCAAGUUUCAGGCAAUUAACUUGACUGUGGUCUCCUGCCAUGCACACUGAGCUUUAGCUCUCAUUAAUCUGUGGGAGACAAAUUCUAGCUUCCUCUAGACUGAGAACCAGCAGGCCUAGCUCCAGUCUCUAAUCACUAACUUAUCACUGUGACAUUUUUUUCCCUUUCUGGUCUGUGGAGAUAUUUCUCUUCUUUUGAGUUUACCAUAUCUUAGUCAUUUUGCCAUUCUUUAAAAUUAUUCUUUGACUGCUAAGCUUGGAGUUGAUGGAGAAGUUCAAGCCUAAACUCAUAAUGUCAUCCUGACCCUUGGUCCCAAACUGUUGGUAUCUGAUUAUCUAGUUCUCAGGGUGAAUUUGGAUAUUUGUAGACUUGAAGGCCCAAAUAGACAAGUGGACACUCCAUGUUAAUCAUAGCCCAACUUAUCCUAGAAAGAAAAUUAAGUUUAAUUAAGUUCCUCAAUAUAUUUCACCUAAGAUGCAAGAACAAAUAAACCCUGAAAAAUAUUUUUUAUAGUGAAGCCCUUGCUCAGAGAAAAAACAGAACAAAACCUCAAGAACUGUGAUUAAUUAUACUAAAGGAUAUUUUCAGGCAUGGACUUGUCUUGAAAACGUGCUGUUGGGCCUAAUUGUAUUUACAGUUCACACUCAUAUAUAGAGCACUGGUAGACCAGUCAGUGAGUGAAUGAUUAUAGUCCUAUUUUUGGCUUGAACAUUCAUCAAUGUGUGAGUGUUGGCAGGAAAGCCACUAAACUUUUCACAGUAUGUCUUCUCAUUGUAAAAUGGAAAUAUUAAUUCCUGCCAUUAUUGUGGUAUGGUUAUGAAGAACAAACAAAACACAGCCAAAUGAUGCUAUAAAUCUGUUUUGAGAUUAUCCCUGGCACAUUUACCUAGUAAAAUUUUGCAUUCAUUUUGCAUAGUAAAAUGAAUAGUUGUUAUUUUAAAAGAGGGUAAAAAAAAUAAGCUAAGUAAUUCAAGAAUCUAAAAACAACUAUAAAAUAAGCAAUACAUUAAACAAAUAUUAAAAUUACUUAACCAAAAAGAAAGCUAUUUUGUUUAAAAGAUUAGUAGAAUUAAGACGAGAUUUUAAAUGUCUCUUUCUACUGAGGUUAAUGCUAAAAAAUUGUAUCUUUGAGUUUUUUUUUCUUUUUUUAGAAAAUGAUAGUGGAAAAAUUUUUAUCAGAAGAAAGCUUAAAAGCAUAGGUAAAAUUAGCCUUUUUUUCUAGAGAAAAUAUAAGUAUCAAAAAUGACAGAAGGAAUAGAUCAAUUAAAUACUGUAAAGAGUAUAUAGCUAAAAAUAAUCAAUUCCCAAUGUCUCAAAAUUCACCUUAUAGUACUAAUUAUAACUGUGGCCAAAUCUCCAAGGUACAGAUAAUGCUUAUAUAUUAUGACCUUUCCAGACACUAUAAAAAGAGGACAACCUGUCAAGAAAGUUUAUUACUAUCUUUGGUUUUUCAUGUUAUGAUUGUUUAUCUGCUAAGAAAUUAUUGGAACUGUUAUUACAGUUUGUUAUUAAUGCCAAAAAUUAGAUCGAUAUGCAAAGGCCAAUGGAAGAAAUAGUUAGCAACAAUAAGAGAAAAAAGUAUAUAGAGAAAAAAUAUCUAAAAUAUCAGAAAAACCUUUAUGAUAUCAAAGAAUGUAAUAAAAGUAAAACCAUUAUAGAAUAAUAAUUUUUAAAAUAUUUGUGAAAGAUAUGUAUGAAUACCAAAACAGGUGGUAAAAAUCUUGUUAUGGAUAAGAAAAUUCACGGCCAUAAAGCUGUCAAUUUUUUUCAAAAUUAAAGGGCAACCUCCCUCUAGGAUUUUUAAUGUACAUACUAACUUGGUGCAAAAGUCAUUGCAGUUUUUGCCAUUACUUUAAUAGCAAAAACUAAAAAUAACCAAAAUGUCUGGUAGGGGGUCUGCCUGAGCAAGUAUUAAAACAUAAGUAACAAUAAUUAAAGCAGCAUUAUAUUGGCACAGAAAUAGGUAUGAAGGAAUUAAGAGCUGAGGUAGAGUCUCAAGUUUAUACAUAAUUUUUUAUUGUUGAACAAUUCUAUGGAGAUAAGUUUUGCAUACAAAAAUUUCAUGUUUAAAGAAAUAAUUUGGUGUUUUGAGAUAUGUAUUUAUGCAUGUUAAAAAAUUGAUCACUCACAAAAAUUUCCUCCACUUUGUACUCUCUUUCUUAGAGUCCUUCCCAUUCUAGGAAGCCAAUGAUUGUCUUUCUAUCAUUAGAGACUAGUUUGCAUUUUUAAGCAUUUUAUAUGAAUGGAGUAAUACAAUGCAUACUCUCAUUUUGUCUGGCUUAUUUCACUCAGUGUAAGAGAUGUCUCAAACCUGUUGCCAACAGUUUUGCAUCAAUAGUUAAUUCUUUUCAUUGCUGAGUAGUAUUCCAUUGUAUAGAUGUAUCAUAAUUUAUCUGCUUACACACUGAUGGACAUUUGGAUUCUUUCCAGUUUUUGGCUAUUAUCAUAAAAGUUUCUUGAAGAAUUUUAUAAAAGUCUUGGUAUGAAUAUUUUCAUUCAUUUCUGCUGGGUACAAACUUAGGAGUGGAGUGUCUGGAACAUAUGGUAGAUGCAUGUUUAACAUUUUAAGAAACUGCCAAAUCAUUUUCCAAAAUACAUGUAUUACUAGGAUAAGUUAGAGUGAAUUAUCUCCAUACCCUCUUGAAAUAGGUUGACCAUGUCAAUCUAUUUUUAUGUAGUCAUUAUACUGAGUGUGCAGUGGUAUGGCCAUGUCAAUCUAUUUUUAUGUAGUCAUUAUACUGAGUGUGCAGUGGUAUGGCCAUGUCAAUCUAUUUUUAUGUAGUCAUUAUACUGAGUGUGCAGUGGUACCUAAUUUUGGUUUCAGCGACUAAGGGGUUGAGC
rnacentral:lncRNA from 1 species